rnacentral:rRNA from 1 species
UGGGGAAUAUUGCACAAUGGGGGAAACCCUGAUGCAGCGACGCCGCGUGAGUGAAGAAGUAUUUCGGUAUGUAAAGCUCUAUCAGCAGGGAAGAAAUUGACGGUACCUGACUAAGAAGCCCCGGCUAACUACGUG